rnacentral:rRNA from 1 species
GACGAACGCUGGCGGCGUGCUUAACACAUGCAAGUCGAACGGAAAGGCCCUGCUUUUGUGGGGUGCUCGAGUGGCGAACGGGUGAGUAACACGUGAGUAACCUGCCCUUGACUUUGGGAUAACUUCAGGAAACUGGGGCUAAUACCGGAUAGGAGCUCCUGCUGCAUGGUGGGGGUUGGAAAGUUUCGGCGGCUGGGGAUGGACUCGCGGCUUAUCAGCUUGUUGGUGGGGUAGUGGCUUACCAAGGCUUUGACGGGUAGCCAGCCUGAGAGGGUGACCGGCCACAUUGGGACUGAGAUACGGCCCAGACUCCUACGGGAGGCAGCAGUGGGGAAUAUUGCACAAUGGGCGGAAGCCUGAUGCAGCAACGCCGCGUGCGGGAUGACGGCCUUCGGGUUGUAAACCGCUUUCGCCUGUGACGAAGCGUGAGUGACGGUAAUGGGUAAAGAAGCACCGGCUAACUACGUG